rnacentral:rRNA from 1 species
UACAGAGGGUGCGAGCGUUGUCCGGAAUCACUGGGCGUAAAGGGCGCGUAGGUGGUGACCUAAGCGUGCGGUGAAAGCCCGAGGCUCAACCUCGGGUCGGCCGUGCGAACUGGGUCACUGGAGCAGAAUAGAGGCAGGUGGAAUUCCGGGUGUAGCGGUGGAAUGCGUAGAGAUCCGGUAGAACACCGGUGGCGAAGGCGGCCUGCUGGGUUCUGGCUGACACUGAGGCGCGACAGCGUGGGGAGCAAACAGG